CCUACGAGGGGCAGCCGUGGGGAAUAUUGGACCAUGGGGGGAACCCUGAUCCAGCGACGCCGCGCGAGUGAAGAAGUAUUUCGGUAUGUAAAGCUCUAUCAGCAGGGAAGAAAAUGACGGUACCUGACUAAGAAGCCCCGGCUAACUACGUGCCAGCAGCCGCGGUAAUACGUAGGUGGCAAGCGUUAUCCGGAUUUACUGGGUGUAAAGGGAGCGUAGACGGUGCAGCAAGUCUGAUGUGAAAUGCCGGGGCUUAACCCCGGAACUGCUUUGGAAACUGUGCAGCUAGAGUGCAGGAGAGGUAAGUGGAAUUCCUAGUGUAGCGGUGAAAUGCGUAGAUAUUAGGAGGAACACCAGUGGCGAAGGCGGCUUACUGGACUGUAACUGACGUUGAGGCUCGAAAGCGUGGGGAGCAAACAGGAUUAGAUACCCCAGUAGUC
rnacentral:rRNA from 1 species